rnacentral:lncRNA from 1 species
CUUCUGCUGUGCAAGGGUCCCCAGCUGCAGGCGUGUGCAUGUGUGAGCUGAGCAGAGUGGUGGAUGUCACACGCCCUGGCUCUGUCCCCAGGACAUUGGACCUUCCCCACUGAAAUGAGCUUUGAAUACAAGGGAAGUCUCUGACACAACAGAAAGGAGAAGCCACAGUGAUCACCCAGGGUGUUUCAGUGCGCCGCUCAGUCACCUAGACUCUGCUUCACCCCUUGAUUCUCCAUUUGUGCUUGAAGAGAGGAUUCCAGACAAAAUCCUAGUGAGAGCCAAGCAGUCAUUUUUGCAGUUGUGGGACUUCGAACUUCUGUGAAAAAUAAAUUUAAAAAUACCAUCCUUCUCA